UGGACGGACGGGUAGGAACGUAAACGUACGGUCGGGAACCUAACGUCCGACCAAAGAGGGGGGAUAACACUUGGAAACAGGUGCUAAUACCGCAUAACCAUAGUUACCGCAUGGUAACUAUGUAAAAGGUGGCUAUGCUACCGCUUUUGGAUGGGCCCGCGGCGCAUUAGCUAGUUGGUGGGGUAAAGGGCUUACCAAGGCAAUGAUGCGUAGCCGAACUGAGAGGUUGAUCGGCCACAUUGGGACUGAGACACGGCCCAAACUCCUACGGAAGGCAGCAG
rnacentral:rRNA from 1 species